rnacentral:snoRNA from 9 species
AAGCCAGCCAAUGAAUCUGCUUACCUGAAUGUGUUUUGGCAGAAAUUUAGAGCAAGCUGGCAAUAGUAAAGCCAUGUUACGAGCCUUAACGACGUUGAAGUCGUUAAGGUCCCUGAAAGUGGCCACAAGA